rfam:Rattus norvegicus chromosome 10, whole genome shotgun sequence.
GGGGAUUUAGCUCAGUGGUAGAGCGCUUGCCUAGGAAGCGUAAGGCCCUGGGUUCGGUCCCCAGCUCUG